rnacentral:lncRNA from 1 species
UUUUCUGUUUUUGUUUGUUUGGGAUAGGUUCUCACAUGUCUUGGCUGGUUUUUGACUUCUCUAGUAGACCAGGCUUGGUCUUGAACCCUUGCUCUUCCUGUCUCAUACUCCCAAGAGCAUUCCACACUUUGCUGGAAAAUGUUAUUUUACACUGUACUCUGAAGAAAGCAAGAGUCACCCAUUCAAAUGACAAGAGGCUGGCUCUCCAUGCGAUGAACAGACCUGUCCAGAAAGAUAAUGCCACAGAGAAAUAGCUGUCCUGAGGUCUAGCUCACUGCCUCGCUAGGAACGGAAGACAAAGAACACUGCAGCUGGCUUUGUU